AUCCAACUGACGAGUCUCAAACAGGACGAAACGCGCUUCUUCAAU
rnacentral:hammerhead_ribozyme from 1 species